rnacentral:rRNA from 1 species
UACGUAGGGGGCGAGCGUUGUCCGGAUUCAUUGGGCGUAAAGAGCUCGUAGGCGGCUUGGCAAGCCGGGUGUGAAAACUCCAGGCUCAACCUGGAGACGCCACCCGGGACUGCUAUGGCUAGAGUCCGGUAGGGGAUCACGGAAUUCCUGGUGUAGCGGUGAAAUGCGCAGAUAUCAGGAAGAACACCAAUGGCGAAAGCAGCUCUCUGGGACGGUACUGACGCUGAGACGCGAAAGCGUGGGGGGCGAACAGG